rnacentral:rRNA from 1 species
GACGAACGCUGGCGGCGUGCUUAACACAUGCAAGUCGAACGGAAAGGCCCUGCUUUUGUGGGUUGCUCGAGUGGCGAACGGGUGAGUAACACGUGAGUAACCUGCCCUUGACUUUGGGAUAACUUCAGGAAACUGGGGCUAAUACCGGAUAGGAGCUCCUGCUGCAUGGUGGGGGUUGGAAAGUUUCGGCGGUUGGGGAUGGACUCGCGGCUUAUCAGCUUGUUGGUGGGGUAGUGGCUUACCAAGGCUUUGACGGGUAGCCGGCCUGAGAGGGUGAACGGCCACAUUGGGACUGAGAUACGGCCCAGACUCCUACGGGAGGCAGCAGUGGGGAAUAUUGCACAAUGGGCGGAAGCCUGAUGCAGCAACGCCGCGUGCGGGAUGACGGCCUUCGGGUUGUAAACCGCUUUCGCCUGUGACGAAGCGUGAGUGACGGUAAUGGGUAAAGAAGCACCGGCUAACUACGUG